UGGAUACCGCUGCUUAAAACAAGGUCCUCGGCAACAGCCAGCCACCGAAUCACUCUAUGCAGCCUCUUCAUCGCGGCCCAACCAUCACCAAAAAUGCCUAGGAACGUAAAAGGAUUAGGAAACCGCCAUGCACCACCCCAAGGGAAGAGGAAGAGGAAGAAUACAGGCCAGAAAUGCCCAUCAACAGCAAACACUCGAGCUGGGGAGACGGCUCAGUGGGAACCAGAAGAUUCCUGAGGAUGACAAGACCCACUGAACCACCAGACACGCUCUCCCAAAGGCUAAAUACAUGAAGAGCUGACUGGCUACCCUUUCCCCUUCAGCCCUCAUCACUCAGGAAUCUACUUUCCAGCUUCCCCUUGGCAGGAAAUUGAGCAGAUCCCCCAAGGCCUGAUGGGACUACAGAGCUUCGAAACUGAGGCAUCUUAAGCAGGAGAAUUGUUCUUGACUUUGCAUAAUUUUUUUUAAGUUUCUUUCAAUGGCGGUUAUAAAUAGUUACGGACCUGUCAAAUCCACAUCAAUGCCUCAGCUCUUUGAAAGGACUCAGACGGGAAAAGCUAUUUUAAGUGGGAGAAACUUUGAUGGCCAUCUCUGUCUCUCCUCUGCCUGUGAUGAUGCCACUUUGAUCUUCUAGCUCAGUCAGCCUGGUUUGAGCCGUCAGAAGCCCACGACUAAACACCCUGUUUCUAUUACUUCUUUAUUUGAUAUUUUAAUUGAACGAGCGCCAUCGUUUCCUGGCCAAUAUUCCCCAUCUGCUGCUUCUCCAUUUUUUUUUUCCCCAUCGGAGCACCUGAGGCAACACCCCUUCCUGGAACGAGAUCCGCUCUCUUUGGCUUCCUCUGGAAUCGACUCUGUUUCCUGAAGCCAGAGCCAUCCGCCUGCUGGAAACAAAUCUGCCCUUCUGCCUGCUGGAAAUAAAUCUGCCCUAGCGGUAUCCCUCUGGAGGUCACCAUCUGGGUUCUGAACUGCCCUGAGGGACUAGGAGAUGGCAGUGCUGAGCAGCUGCCUCUGUGGGUUCCAAGCCAGCCUCUGUACAAUGGUGGCCUUUGGAAAAGGCCUCUUUGAUUUGAAUAACAGCCAGUGUAAGAUCCAUCAAAUAAUGACUUAGUUAAACAAACUGGCCCUAUCGUGCAGAGAGAAACCUGGUAGAAGAAGCAAGGGCACAGUGAGGCAAAAAAGAGGAGGGAGCUAGAGAGAUGGCUCAGGAGUUAGGACCACAUACUACUCUUGGAGGGGACCUUCCUUCAGUUCCUGACACCCACACGGGGCACAUACAUGCACGCAGGCCAAACGGUUAUACACACCAAAUAUAAAUAAAUAGAUCAUUAAAAAAAAAAAAAAAAGAACUCAACACUUAUAAGUCCCAAGACAGGAAGAAGGACAGAUGUGCCCUGAGUUGUAGCCUUCCUUGAAAUUUAUAGGUUAAGUAUUCAGAAUAAAUCGUCAGCAAACAUGCUUCCCACAGAGAUGGAGAAGGCCCAUCCCACACCUCAGACCAGCCUCACCUCACACAAGGCUGUCAGUGUUAUUUAUCUCCAUCCUUGUUGCUCAAGUCAUUUCGGGAAGAAAGGGUUUAUUUGGAUUUGCCUUCUGAGGACCACCAUGGUGGGGAGGUCAUGACAGCAGCAGCUUUGGACAGCCGGUCACAUCGCAUCUGCACUCAGGAAGCAGAGGGCAGAGAACACUGUUGCUCGGCCCACUUCAUUCAGUCCGGGCUCCAGCUCAUGCGAUGAUGGGCCUUCCCACCUCAGAGAACUUCAUCUAGAUCUCAUGUCAUAGGCAUUAGUAGAUCCCGUCCUUGACAAUCAAGAUUAACCAUUGAACUGUCCAGCAGAAUGAUAGAAGAA